GAUGAACGCUAGCGGGAGGCCUAACACAUGCAAGCCGAGCGGUAGAGUCUCUUCGGAGACUUGAGAGCGGCGCACGGGUGCGGAACACGUGUGCAACCUGCCUUUAUCUGGGGGAUAGCCUUUCGAAAGGAAGAUUAAUACCCCAUAAUAUACUGGAUGGCAUCAUCUGGUAUUGAAAACUCCGGUGGAUAGAGAUGGGCACGCGCAAGAUUAGAUAGUUGGUGAGGUAACGGCCCACCAAGUCAGCGAUCUUUAGGGGGCCUGAGAGGGUGAUCCCCCACACUGGUACUGAGACACGGACCAGACUCCUACGGGAGGCAGCAGUGAGGAAUAUUGGACAAUGGGUGAGAGCCUGAUCCAGCCAUCCCGCGUGAAGGACGACGGCCCUAUGGGUUGUAAACUUCUUUUGUAUAGGGAUAAACCUAGAUACGUGUAUCUAGCUGAAGGUACUAUACGAAUAAGCACCGGCUAACUCCGUG
rnacentral:rRNA from 1 species